rnacentral:rRNA from 1 species
GUCCUAGCCCUAAACGGUGCUUGCUUGCUGUAAGAGGAAUCGACCCCUCUUGUGGCGGAGCUAACGCGUUAAGCAAGCCGCCUGGGAAGUACGGUCGCAAGAUUAAAACUCAAAGAAAUUGACGGGGCCUGCACAAGCGGUGGAGUAUGUGGCUUAAUUCGAUGCAACGCGAAGAACCUUACCUGGCCUUGACAUGCAUCUAGUAGAAGGGUGAAAGCCUGACGAGGUAGCAAUACCAGGAUGCACAGGUGCUGCAUGGCUGUCGU